UCCAAUGAACAUUUCUCCAAGUACGACAUAAUUGUUUGUGAGCAGCAGCGGUUGUAGUAAAAACUGAAAAUACGUCCAAACUUUGAGCCGAUUACCUAAAAUGUUCAGUUGUUGGUUGCAUUAACAAACACGAGUGGCUGAACAGGUCAGACAGCACAGUCAAAACCUGGAGGGGGUGGGGGGGCUCAUAAUGUG